UUCGUUCAGUCAGCAGCAGACUCUGG
rnacentral:misc_RNA from 1 species